rnacentral:rRNA from 1 species
UACAGAGGUCCCGAGCGUUGUCCGGAAUUACUGGGCGUAAAGAGCUCGUAGGUGGUUUGUCGCGUUGUUCGUGAAAACUCACAGCUCAACUGUGGGCGUGCGGGCGAUACGGGCAGACUGGAGUACUGCAGGGGAGACUGGAAUUCCUGGUGUAGCGGUGGAAUGCGCAGAUAUCAGGAGGAACACCGGUGGCGAAGGCGGGUCUCUGGGCAGUAACUGACGCUGAGGAGCGAAAGCGUGGGGAGCGAACAGG